UCGAGAUACCAUAGCGAGCAGCUUGCUAGACGUCAGAGAAGUGGCCCUAAGGACAAGCACCCGUAGUUGCUUUAAUGAUAGCAGGAGGGGGUCGGUUUGAACGCCUAGCAGGAGGGUAUAUAAAAAUGUGAUUGAUGCUCGGUUAAUUUGCUUCGCAAAGCUUAUUAUGGCAAAUAAAGAGCAGUAAGAUGUGAAGUCUCAGUUGCCACCUCUCUGGUUUCGACCCGGAGACUCCAGUUUCAGUGCAAAAUUACGGAAUCCGGUUUUAUGAAUUGAAUCUUCUGGUUCAAUAAGAACAUUCUGGUACAUGAAUUUCGCCACAUAAUCAUUCAGAGAAUCGGAAAAGAGAUGCGCUUGUUCUCCAAUUAUUUGAUACCUUCAUUGAAGAUAUUCCUCUCCUAAGAAGUUUGGAGAGGCUAAGAUACUUCUGGCGGUCCAUUCCGGACCCUUUCAUCACACCUAAUGAACUGCGAUGUGUGAUGCAAAGGCUCAUCGAUUCCAACGAUGGUGAACUGGAAGAAAUUUGUAAAGAUUUUCAAAAGAACUAUUUUUCUGUUUUGUACGGGACAAAACCAAGCGAAGAGACCAAACCAAGAAGCCUGAGGCAUUAUUGCCGCUGCAGCAUCCGUGAAAGACUGCGUCUUAAUUCCAAGCUCCCAGAUGGAAUCACCAGCUUAGGCUUGCCUUCUGUGGAGCAAUCUUAUUUAAAAUUAUCAUAUUAAUUUUUUAUAUAUGUAAGCACGCCAUGCCUGGAUAUUUUUUCAGCUGAAGCAAAGAAUUAAAUUCGUGCCCUGGUGUAGAAUCAAAUGAGGUAUAUAUGUACACUUUCAUAUUAUAACUCUUAUAAUACUUUUAUUUGUAGAAGGAGUGAUACAAGUAUAAUUUGCAAAUUUUGUAAAAAAUUUGUAAAAAAAUGUUAAAACAAGCGCAUUUUUGAUAAUUAAGGAAUAAUCUUGAAACAUUGUGAAUAAUAACAUUGGUAUUUUAUAUCGAAAAUCUUGAACUAAUUUUUAAAUAUUUUUUAAAAUUUAACUUUUCUUACUUUCAACGAAAUAAAAUCGCUGGUAAUUUUUUUUUCAAAAUUUACUUCUUAAAUUGAUUACUUGAUUCCUGUUCUCUAGUGAAAAUAGCAUUUUUUGAAAACUGUUCUUCACCAAGUGAGGUUCUCAUAUUAUUAUUAUUAUUAUUAUUUUAAGUUUGCUAUGGCUUCUUUCACUUCUUACAACAGUAACUGGCAACAUUAAAGUAUUCUUAGUAUCAUCUUUCGGAUAAGCUUGAAGUAAACUGCGUUUCUAAGUUAUAUUUGAAAGGUCUAAACUUUUAAAAGUCUAAAUCUUUGAAAGGUCUAAAUCUAAGUUUCAUCAGACAACAAACUGAAAAUUAAACUUGUAGGUGAUUUAAUUUCUAGAAUUUUCGAAAUCGCAUGAUUUUCAAAACUAGAUAUGUGCGAUUCAUAUUCUGCAAUAUUUAUAUCAUUUGGGCAUAUGUUUUUUUAAUAAAUUCUCCAAAUCUAAUAACAUUAAUUAUCAGUCUCCCUAAUCAGAAACUGAAAAUCGGAAGAUAUCUUUUUUAUAUAUCUUUAUUUAAGUUGUCACGUUGAUCAUCUCCUUUAUUUUUACAAAGAAAAAAAAAAUAUUUUUCUGAAAAAUUGGUAAUAUUAUCAAUUGGUUUAACAUAAUAUCCUUCAUUAACCUUUCCUUUUUUCAUGUCUGUUCAAAUUCUAUUGAUAUAUCCAUUUUUAAAGUUAAAUUUCCACAUCUCUCAACAAUAUUUUGGCAAAUAUUUUUCCUAUAUAGUGUAAAUAAAGAUAUAAUACAUAGAUAGCUUCCGAUUUCAGUAACUUUUAACUAAAGAAAUGUCAGUGGGUUUAUGUAUUGCUUAAAAGGAGCAGAUUCUGACUUAGAACUUAAACAUAAUACAAAUGAUAUAAACGUUUCAAAAUGUUUCGUCAGAACUAUUUAGUUGUAAAACGCUACUUUAAUGAUUCUGGUUGUUAAAGCAUGAUCGGCUACUUUAAGUAUGAUUCAGUAAUCCAUUUAGUUCAGUCAUUUCUGAGUUAGAAAACUUCAAGGAUAUUCUUAAUGUUGCCUAUUAUUAUUGUUAGGGUGAAAGAAACUUCUUAAAGCUUAAAAUUUUAAAAACAAUUCUAGAACGUCUUCUCCUGUUUAAGAAAAAUUUUAAAUAUGGUAAUUUUCUCUCACAUCCGUAAAAUAAUAGAGCCGACAUCAGUUAAAUAAUCAGGUAGAUUAAAAAAAAUGUAUUAUCUUGGUUUCUUCGUUGAAAGAGGAAAAAAUUAAAUUUCAAACAAUCUUGAAGUACAAGUACAGUACUUUCGUAUUAAUUUCAUUAUUAUUUAUAUUAUUUCAAUAUUAUUUGCUAUUUAUCAACAUACAUUUAAAAAUUAUAUAUCAUUACAUGUAUUAUGAUUUUGAACGUAUAAAGCUACGAUUAAAAAUAUUGUAACUGUUAACGUUAUCAUUGCUGAUUCUAAAAGUUUAUAGGUAUAGUUAAAGUCAUAUUUUACAGAGUUGUGGCUACAUUUAUCCAGGCUUACAGAAAUUCUACAACCAUAAGUAGCUAUAUUUAUCCUGGUGUAAAAUAAUUUUCCUGUCAGUGCAGCAGUGAUAAAUACAAUAAAUUGUAAUGUAGUAAUAUAAUGUUGAAAAUAGGUUGUAAUGCAUUUGCGAUCUUUUAAAAUGCAUCGACGUUUUUAAGUCUCUUAUUGCAUUUGACAUCCAAAAGACUUAAGUGUGUUAUGUCAAGUAUUUUUAAGUACUGUGCCAAGCUACGCUUCAGUGUAUUUUAAGUAGCUUAACAACAGAAUAUAAGAUCUGUUACCGUAUUUAAUUUUUUUUUAAUUGUAUACAUGCAGUACUAUAAUUUGUGUAAAUGUGUGGAAAAUAUUUUAUAAAUGUCAUUGAUUUGUCGCUAUAACUGCCUAUAUAUUUCCUCGUGUAAGGGAAUUCUGAUGUUAGUAUAGCAGUGUUUAAUAUAAUGUACUGUAAUGUAAUAAUAUUAUGUUGAAAAUGUGUUGUGACGUCUAUAUGCUAUGUUAAGAUAGUAACCAGGUUAUAUGUCUGUUAUUGCAUUGACGCUUAAGUGUUGCGAGUGUUUUUACGUUAUGUACCAAGUUAUGUUUUAGUGCAUUUUAAGUAGCUUAAUAGCAAAAGAUAUAAAUAUUGCUAUAUUUUAUAAAUUUGAUUAAUUCCCUGAGAUCCGUACUAUUAAUUGUAUAAGUGUAUGGAAACAAUUUUGUAAACAUCAUUAUACUAUAAGCAUAAGUACUCAUAUUUAUACCGGUAUAAGAUAAUCGUCCUUUAAGUGUAUAGCACUAAUUAAUAUAAUAUAUUGUUAUAUUAAUUAAUAUAAUAUGUUAUUGAUUAAUAUAAUUAGUAUUAAUAUAAUUGAUUAAUAUAAUAUGUAGUUGAAAAUGUGUUUUAAUGUGUAGUUAAAUGAUUAUAUAUGUUAUAAUAUGUAGUUAAAUGAUUUUUUGUAUGCCGCAUUAAGAAUGUAUUUAAGCUUUAAAUUUGUUAUUACAUUGCUUUCGAACAGCGGUGAGUGCGUUAUAUCUGGUGUUUUUACAUAAUGUGCAAGCUAUGCUUCAGUGUAUUUUAAAUAUCUUAACAGCAGAAUUUAUGAACUCUUCCUGUGUUUUAAAAUUUGUAUUAACCGUAUAAAUUCAGUGUUAUUAAUUGCAUGAGUAUAUGGAAACUAUUUUAGAAGCGCCAUUGUUUUGUAACCGUGAACGUCCAUAUUUAUCCUCAUAUAACGCAAUUUUCUUGUUAGCGCAGCAGUGUUGAAUACGACUUAAUACAGUAUGAUAAUAUAACGCUGAAAAUGAGUUGUAACAUGUCUAUGCUAUGUUAAGAAUGCUUCUAGGUUUUUUUAGUCUGUUAUUGCAUUGCCUUGGAAUAGACUGAAGUAUGUUCAGUUGUUUUUACGUAACGUAACAUGCCAAGAUCUAUGAAUUGCUAAUGUAUUUUAUAAAUUUUAUUAAUUGUAUAUGUUCACUAUUAUUAAUUGUAUAAACGUAUGGAAACUGUUUUAUUAACAUCAUUGUUCGUGAAUAUCAUUGUUCAUAACCACAGAUGGCUACAUUUAUAUUGGUACAAGGUUAUUCUCAUGCUAAUGCAGCGACGUUUUAUGUAAUGCAUUGUAAUAUAAAAACAUAAUGUUAAAACAUUUUGUUACGCAGUUGUGUGAAGCCGAACAUGCAGGCAUCCCGUUCGCCUUGGAUCGAAACUGGGUUGAAUUCCCAAUAUAGAUCGGGGUUAACCAGUCGAACCGGUGCGGCUUACUUAGAAAAAAAAAAAAAAAAAAAAAAAAACUUAUCUCUCUUAUACUUAAAAGAUUUUAAUAUCAAACAGCUAAAAUAUUUAUUAUGCGGGUUCUACUUACAGUUCCCAAACAGCUUGUGACUGAUGGUAUGCCAUUUUCUUCAAAUGUGCAGAUAAAAUAAAUAUAAAUCAGAACUCUUUGCAAAGAUUCCUGCUGAAGGUUUCACCCUGAAACGUCAGGUAGUUUCACUAUGUUAAGUGUUAACUUGAUUGAGAAGAUCUGAAAGAUUAUUUGCAAAGAAUCAAAUGAUUUUUUUUUUUCAGAAAUGUAUGAAUUCAUACAAAAAUGGAAGAGGUGAUAAAUGUUUUAAUCUCACAACUGAAAUGGAGGAAAAUUUAAAUGAGAUAGUUACCGAUUUCUAUAAAUUUAACUGCUGAAAGGACACUGAAUUUGUGUAUUGUUUGAAAUUGUACCAUUGUUUGUAAGGAGCAGAUUCUGACUUUGAACUUAAACAUGAUAUAAAUGUUCCAAAAUUUUCAUCAUAACUUUUUAGUGUAAAAACGUUAUUUUAAUAAUUCUGGUUGUUAAAGCAUGAUCAGCUGCUUUAAAUAUCAUUCUUUAAUCCAGUUUGGUUCAGUUCUUUAUGAGCUAGAAUAUAUCAAGGAUUUUUUUAAUGUCGCCUAUUACUAUUGGCUGUAUUUAUCCUGGUACAAGAUAAUUUUCCUGUGAAUGCAACAAUGAAUUAUACAAUACAUUGCAAUGUAGUAAUAUAAUGUUGAAAAUGAGUGGUAAUAUAUCUGUGUUCUGUUAAAAUUCAUCUAGGUUUUAAGACUGUUAUUGCAUUGUCAUCCAAAAGACUUAAGUGUAUUAGAUCAUGUAUUUUUACUUACUGUGCCAGGCUAUGCUUCAGUGUAUUUUAAGUAGCUUAGCAGCAGUAUAUAAAAACUGUUAUACUUUUAAAACUUUAUUAAUUUUAUUCGUGCAGUAUUGUAAUUUGUGUAAAUGUAUGGAAAAUGUUAUAAAAUGAAUUGCCAUUGAUUUGUCGCUAUAACUGCCUAUAUAUUUCCCGGUAUAAGGGAAUUCUGAUGUUAUUGUAGCAGUGCUUAAUAUAAUGUAUUGUAAUGUAAUAAUAUUAUGUUGAACAUAUGUUGUGAUGUAUUUGUGCUAUGUUAAGAAAGUACAUAGGUUUUAAGUCAGUGAUUGUACUGACGCGGGAUAGGUUUAAGUUUUGCGAGUGCUUUUAUGUAAUGAACCAAGUUAUGUUUUAGUGCAUUUUAAGUAGCUUAAUACCAGCAGAUAUGAAUCAUUACUGUACUUUAUAAAUUUUAUUAAUUGUAUAAGUGUAUGAAAACGAUUUUUAAACAUCCUUCUACUAUAACAAUAAGUAUCAUAUAUAUCCGGGUAUAAGACAAUCGUCGUUUCAUUGUAGCAGUGAUUAAUACAAUACGCAAUUGAUUCAUAUAAUUAAUUAAUAUAUUAUUAUUAAUAUUAUUAAUUAAUGUAGUAUUUAUUUAAAAAUGUGUUUUAACGUAAGCAUGCCAUUUAAAGUAUGUAUUUAGGUUUUAAAUCUGUUAUUGGAUUGCCUUGGAAUAGACUGAAGUAGUAUAUGAAUUCACACAUUUUUGAAAAAAAAUCAUUUGAAUCUUUGCAAAUAAUCCUUCAGAAGUUCUCAAUCAAGUUAACGAAUAGACGAAACUACUUUUUGAAACAUCUCUGUUUCUUGACCAUAAACGUCUAUAUUUUAUCCUCAUAUAGGCAUUUUCUUGUUACCGCAGCAGUGUUCAAUAUGACUUAAUACAUGAUAAUAUAACGCUGAAAAUCUGUUUUAACAUAUCUAUGCUAAAUUAAGAAUGCAUCUAUGGUUUUGAGUCUGUUAUUUCAUUGCCUUGAAAUUGACAGAAGUGUGUUCAGUUGUUUUUAUGUAACGUGCCAUAUUUUAACUAUCUCAAUACGUAUGAACUGUUCCUGUAUUUUAUAAAUUUUAUAAUUGUAUAUGUUCACUUUAUGCUUCAGGAUAGGUAAUAAUUGUUUAUUUUAUGUCAGUGUUUAUAUAAAUGGCAUGGAAUUUUAUAAUUUAGGUAUGUGUUUUAUGUAAUUCAUAAGUGGUGUAAAUAAAAUUCUUCUGUACCUUUA
rnacentral:lncRNA from 1 species